rnacentral:rRNA from 1 species
CCUACGGGGCGCAGCAGUGGGGAAUAUUGGACAAUGGGCGAAAGCCUGAUCCAGCCAUGCCGCGUGUGUGAAGAAGGCCUUCGGGUUGUAAAGCACUUUCAGUGGGGAAGAAAGCCUUGGGGCUAAUACCCUCGAGGAAGGACAUCACCCACAGAAGAAGCACCGGCUAACUCCGUGCCAGCAGCCGCGGUAAUACGGAGGGUGCGAGCGUUAAUCGGAAUUACUGGGCGUAAAGCGCGCGUAGGCGGUCUGAUAAGCCGGUUGUGAAAGCCCCGGGCUCAACCUGGGAACGGCAUCCGGAACUGUCAGGCUAGAGUGCAGGAGAGGAAGGUAGAAUUCCCGGUGUAGCGGUGAAAUGCGUAGAGAUCGGGAGGAAUACCAGUGGCGAAGGCGGCCUUCUGGACUGACACUGACGCUGAGGUGCGAAAGCGUGGGUAGCAAACAGGAUUAGAUACCCUGUAGUC